rnacentral:rRNA from 1 species
AAGUUUCUACAAGUGUGGAAACCCUGAUCCAGCCAUCCCGCGCGUAUGAUGAAGGCCUUCGGGUUGUAUAGUACUUUUGGCAGAGACGAAAAGUCAUCCCCUAAUACGGGAUGCUGCUGACGGUAUCUGCAGAAAAAGCUCCGGCCAACUACGGGCCAGCAUCCGCGGUAAUACGUAGGUUGCAAGCGUUAAUCGGAAUUACUGGCCGUAAAGCGUGUGUAGGCGGUGCGAAAAGAAAGAAGUCAAUACCCCGGGCUCGAGCUUGGAAAUGCAUUUUUAACUGCCGAGCUAGAGUAUGUCAGAGAGGGGUAAAAUUCCACGUGUAGAAAUGAAAUGCGUAGAUAUGUGGAGGAAUACCGUUGGCGAAGGCAGCCCCCUGAGAUAAUACUGACGCUCAGACACGAAAGCGUGAGGAGCAAACAGG